UACGGGGGGGGCAAGCGUUGUUCGGAAUUACUGGGCGUAAAGGGCGCGUAGGUGGCCAACUAAGUCAGACGUGAAAUCCCUCGGCUUAACCGGGGAACUGCGUCUGAUACUGGAUGGCUUGAGUUCGGGAGAGGGAUGCGGAAUUCCAGGUGUAGCGGUGAAAUGCGUAGAUAUCUGGAGGAACACCGGUGGCGAAGGCGGCAUUCUGGACCGACAUUGACGCUGAGGAGCGAAAGCCAGGGGAGCAAACGGG
rnacentral:rRNA from 1 species